GACGAACGCUGGCGGCGUGCUUAACACGUGCAAGUCGAACGGAAAGGCCCUGCUUUUGUGGGGUGCUCGAGUGGCGAACGGGUGAGUAACACGUGAGUAACCUGCCCUUGACUUUGGGAUAACUUCAGGAAACUGGGGCUAAUACCGGAUAGGAGCUCCUGCUGCAUGGUGGGGGUUGGAAAGUUUCGGCGGUGGGGGAUGGACUCGCGGCUUAUCAGCUUGUUGGUGGGGUAGUGGCUUACCAAGGCUUUGACGGGUAGCCGGCCUGAGAGGGUGACCGGCCACAUUGGGACUGAGAUACGGCCCAGACUCCUACGGGAGGCAGCAGUGGGGAAUAUUGCACAAUGGGCGGAAGCCUGAUGCAGCAACGCCGCGUGCGGGAUGACGGCCUUCGGGUUGUAAACCGCUUUCGCCUGUGACGAAGCGUGAGUGACGGUAAUGGGUAAAGAAGCACCGGCUAACUACGUG
rnacentral:rRNA from 1 species